AUUGAACGCUGGCGGCAUGCCUUACACAUGCAAGUCGAACGGCAGCACGGGAGCAAUCCUGGUGGCGAGUGGCGAACGGGUGAGUAAUAUAUCGGAACGUGCCCAGUCGUGGGGAUAACGUAGCGAAAGCUACGCUAAUACCGCAUACGAUCUAUGGAUGAAAGCGGGGGAUCGCAAGACCUCGCGCGAUUGGAGCGGCCGAUAUCAGAUUAGGUAGUUGGUGAGGUAAAGGCUCACCAAGCCGACGAUCUGUAGCUGGUCUGAGAGGACGACCAGCCACACUGGGACUGAGACACGGCCCAGACUCCUACGGGAGGCAGCAGUGGGGGAAUUUUUGGGACAAUGGGCGCAAGCCUGAUCCAGCAAUGCCGCGUGCAGGAUGAAGGCCUUCGGUU
rnacentral:rRNA from 1 species